rnacentral:rRNA from 1 species
UACGUAGGAUGCAAGCGUUAAUCGGAAUUACUGGGCGUAAAGCGUGCGCAGGCGGUGAUGUAAGACAGGUGUGAAAUCCCCGGGCUUAACCUGGGAACUGCAUUUGUGACUGCAUCGCUGGAGUGCGGCAGAGGGGGAUGGAAUUCCGGCGUGUAGCAGUGAAAUGCGUAGAUAAUGCGGAGGAACACCGAUGGCGAAGGCAAUCCC